CAGCAACCAAAGUGGGCGUGGCCUGCCUCCUGCGGGGAGCACAAAGCUGUCUUUGCUGGAAUGGAAAGAGAUCUUGUUGUAAGAGGAGCGUUGGAUGAACCAGCCCCAACCCAGGGUCUAGAGUUUGAGGAGUGACAAGGGCAGAUCUCUAAGGAAGCGAAACUCCUCUGAGACCCGACAGGGAACCAGCUUCCUCGAGGAACCUGAGUGAAAGGUGUCUCUGAAGCCCUGAAAGGCCUCUCAGCUUGGCAUGGCCCCCCGCCCCGCCCCAGCUCGCUCUCUUGAUGCCCAUGUGUGUGACUUGACAGCAUUCCUGCCUUGCUGGCCCACUGCCCCACUCCAAGGAAGGACGCUCUCAAGGUCCAGGUCCCUGGCAGGUAAACAGCAAAGUUUCAGAUUCACAGACAUCCUCUCCCUCCUGCACCAACUGCCCACCAGGAAAGUGGGAGCUUGGCGCUGCUUGCAAAGGACUAGGUGAUGUAUGAGCCUGUCUGCGGGCGCCAGGUCCUGAUCUGUGUCCCUGUGAAUAAGAAGCCACUUAAGAGUGUCAGGCAAUCAGGGACUGCCCCUCCUCCUGCCUUCGACCUUGCCUCAGCUUUUGUGGAGUCUGUGGGGUGAUGUGAUAGAGGCUGUGUAGUCAGAUCAGCACCACAGAGGGAGAACAUGGAGAUGGUGUGGUCUCUCCUCCCCAACAGCGUAUUCUGUGUUGCUAGUGUGAGUGCUGCCCAGGGACCCACGAGAUCAGUGUUGACCAAUAGAACUGGGUGAAGGACGUGGGAAUUUGGGUCAGAGACUUCUAUCAGAAGAUGAAAGUCAUCCAGGCAGAGCCUACUGAUUCUGUCCCACACAAUCCACUCUGCCCUCAGUGAAUGAGCAUCAAGUCGAUGGUGAAUGUGGCAUUGACCUAUACCUGCUUUGAGCAUGGGUCUGUCUCCUGCCCUGUGCCCCAGUGUUAAACACACCAUCCUGGUGACAGUGUUAUGUCCCUGUAGGAGAACAUGGAUGCUGGCACAUCUGAGAUUUACCCCGGGGAGAGCAGAGCCUCGCAUGAGACAUGAGUGCAGUCAGCAUCCAGGCUUUGCAGGGCACACCACAUCCCAGGACACCACACGUGAGGGUAGCCAAGGGAGGCCACUGUUGCUAGCUUCUCUUGCCUCCUGUCCCUAACCAGCUUGGUCACUUUCCAGAGUCAUUUCCCCUGGCCUCCAGGUUGGGACAUCUGGCAGGAUCCAGGAAUCCUGACGUCACACUCACAAUUUAACUGUCCACAUGUUUUCUUUCUGUGUAGAACAGGAAACAGUGAGACAGUGUCCAGGCAAUUUCGUCCCAGAUGUGUGACAUACAGGAUCUUAGAUAGCUGCGAGCUGACAGGCCUUUCUACACAAAAGCCCUCACAGUCCUUCCCGAUUGCUUUGAUAGGCUCUGGGCAGGACUCGGAGGUUGAGGUCUGCAGCACUGGGUGAUGGGGUAUACCUUGAGACAUGCAAAGUCCCAAAGCACGAACAGGCUACCUAGAAAGUUCUUCAGGUGAAAUGGAGACAAUAGCUCCUGGAACUAAGCCCUUCGCACCUACCAUUCUGAAACCCAAGAAUGGUUCCCUGGUUGAUAAAGGCUGCAGUAUGUCUCCCAGAGCCUCUCUUCACGCUCACCAUGGGCUUGUUUCCCCAGGGCGGCUGGGCAGUGGGUAGCACAGUGUUUGCUGGGUAUUGCAGAGCAAGGAAGGGUGUGAAUGGCCUUGAGAAAGCCCUUCGCAAUCCAGGGCCCUACAGGCCUGCAGGGGAGAGACCCAGCAGAGAAUAGGAAUCUGAUGGGUGAGACCAUUUUCCUUAAGCAAGGCUGGCAGGACUGUGUGCGUGCGUGCGUGUGUGUGUGUGUGUGUGUGUGUGUGUGUGUGUGUGUGUAACAUGCUAAUCAAUACUAUCUUUUGAAGAGAGGAAAGGAGGUUGGUUCCUGACAGAGUUGUGAGGAGGAUGGAGAGGAGAAGACCCUGGCGCAGACCCCCACCUGGCCCCACCUCCUGCGAGGUGUCAGGGCAACAUCAGUGGAAUGAGAACCCUGCUGAGCACAUGGGGCAGCUGUUUCCGUGGGACCUGCUGUCCUGACCUGGGAGUGCCAUGCUGGGGACAUGCUGAGGACCACAGGUGAUUUGAUGAAGGUAGUACUGUGUACCUUGCAAACACACCUCCAGUUAGUUACUCUCAGACGCUGCAGAUUUUCAAUUUUCUAGUAAAAGGAUUUCAUCAUAAAAGAGCUAGCCCCAGAAGUACCACCUUGUGACCUUUCAGAUAGAAUUUAGAGGGUUUAGAGAUGGCCCCAGGGAACUGCCUUUUCUGUACAAAGAUCCAGCUGUGUCCU
rnacentral:lncRNA from 1 species